GGGUCUUGUUGGGUAUAAAAUACCCCCUCCGAUCGAAGUUUGUAAAAGAUCGAUCCUUCGAGGCUCUUCCGGCUCCCGACCUUGUAUGUGGCGCCUCUCUGAACUCCCUCGGCCGUUCGGACUUCUCCGACAAUGGACUUCUGCAUUCAUCCAUCGGGCCACCCCAAAGGCCCUCUGGGCCCCACUGUUAGCCGACCUUCUACAGCAGCCGACUACCCC
rnacentral:lncRNA from 1 species